rfam:Denitrovibrio acetiphilus DSM 12809, complete genome.
GGAGGAGUGUCCGAGUCUGGCUUAAGGAGGCGGUCUUGAAAACCGUUGAGCGUGCGAGCGUUCCGUGGGUUCGAAUCCUACCUCCUCCG